GCUUCCAGAUAUUUAUUAGUACAGCAAACUGCUGCUUGGGUAACCUUAGUCAUUGAGAUUGCUUCACAUGCAUUUUCAAUUUCUUCUCUACAGGCCAGCAGUUUGGUGGGUUUUCUGUCAUAUACGACAUUCUCUACGGUCCCCCUUAUGAGGAUGGCAUCAUCUGUUGAAAAAAAUCAUACCAUUUUUCUUUUCCUGAAUGUGUAUACAUUUUUUUGGUGGACUGUAUGUGUGUGUGUGUGUGUGCGUGCGUGUGUGUGUGUGUGCAUACCCAUGCGCAUGUAUUUGCUCAAUAUAUACAUAAACAGAGAAUAUUAUUUAUCUACCGAUUUCAUGCAUACCUUUUAAAAAUAUCAACUGCUGGAUAAAUGGUAUCCAGACAGCAACACUUUCUUAAUGUUUUAAAUCCUUCCUGGCUAGUUUCUCUUCUGGUUUGCAAUCUUAAGUCUAGAGUUUAGUUUUGCUACAUCUUUUGAAACUUCAGGCGGAGUUUCUGGAAAGCAUUGAGGGCACUGCUCUACUCCUUGCAGAAGUCACUAAGGGAAGGCAGUACUGAGACCAAUUCUGCAAGAGAGGAAAGAGUUUACUUCUCAGAAUUCCUCGGAAAGGAAAAUAAUGAGCCUCAGACCUCCUGGACAGAAGUUAUGGUUCCAAGCUUUGUCAUCCACCACUGGAGAGCAGGAGGCCUCGGCUUGGAGGAGAGCAGCUAGUCCAGUUUUCCUGCCUCAAUCAGUCACAGGUAGGGGUUUGGCUCGCAGAGUCCUCACUCCGAUCCACAGGCCUCUCCUCCUCAGCAGCAAUAUCCUGCCCAAUGGAGACUGGGGACUCCUCUUCAUCCACAACUGAAGGACUUACAUCUUCUGGUGACCCUUACAAGAUCUGCAUCUGGAAGUGUUUCUGAUGCCGUAUAAAGACACUUUCUAAAUGGAGAGAUGCAUGCUUUCUUUCAUUCACAUUAUCAGUGUAUGUUCACAAUACAUAAUAGCUACAUUUAUAUUGGGGAACUGGUACAUAUUAACAUAUCGUGAUAAUUUGUUGUCCCUUUGCCCUCCUCAGGUCCCCUUCUCCAUCCCCAAAACAUCUGCCUUUUUAAUACUUAUUUAGAUUUUUUUACAGGGCGUUGGACUCCAAGCCUUUGAAGUCCCUCCUUUAUUUUGAGACAGGAUCUUACUAAGUUGCUGUGAUAUUUAACUUUCUAUGUCUGACUUAUUUCACUUAACAUUGUUUAUUGUAAGGCACCUGGAAAAGACACUGGAAACCCUAGGAGAACCGAAGCAGUCUGCACUCUUUCCAGGGUCCAGGGCUACAGGGGUAGAGUGACAAGCUAAGCCCCUGGGAAGGUCCUUACAGGUUUGUCACGGGAGAGGAGACAAGUGUAGCAGAGGGCUCAGACCCCGAGCAAUCUGCUCCACGUGAUAGUCUAGGUUUUAAAAAAAUGUACAUGAAGAAAAUGUAAAAAUGGAAUUAAAGUGUUUGAAGGGGGGAGGGGAGGGGAGGGUGAAGGGAGGGUGGGGACAAGGGGAAAAUAUGAGAACCAAGACCUGUCAUGUAAAGGUACAAGAUCCCACGAAUGAAUGUAACUGUACUGUCUACCUAGAAUGUACCAAUAAAUUAAAUUUUUUAAAAAUGUACAUGGGACAAAAUAUUCAUGUGACUUCAGAUUAAACAACAAAAGGAAAAUGAC
ensembl:lincRNA